rnacentral:rRNA from 1 species
AUACGGAGGGUGCGAGCGUUGUUCGGAAUCACUGGGCGUAAAGGGCGCGCAGGCGGUUUGUCAAGUCAGAUGUGAAAGGCCACGGCUCAGCCGUGGAGGUGCAUCUGAAACUGGCAGACUUGAGUACCGGAGGGGAAAGUGGAAUUCCCGGUGUAGAGGUGAAAUUCGUAGAUAUCGGGAGGAACACCGGAGGCGAAGGCGACUUUCUGGACGGAUACUGACGCUGAGGCGCGAAAGCGUGGGGAGCAAACAGGAUUAGAAACCCCUGUAGUCC